rnacentral:rRNA from 1 species
UUAAGCGACUAAGCGUACACGGUGGAUGCCCUGGCAGUCAGAGGCGAUGAAGGACGUGCUAAUCUGCGAUAAGCGUCGGUAAGGUGAUAUGAACCGUUAUAACCGGCGAUUUCCGAAUGGGGAAACCCAGUGUGUUUCGACACACUAUCAUUAACUGAAUCCAUAGGUUAAUGAGGCGAACCGGGGGAACUGAAACAUCUAAGUACCCCGAGGAAAAGAAAUCAACCGAGAUUCCCCCAGUAGCGGCGAGCGAACGGGAGCAGCCCAGAGCCUGAAUCAGUGUGUGUGUUAGUGGAAGCGUCUGGAAAGGCGCGCGAUACAGGGUGACAGCCCCGUACACAAAAAUGCACAUAUUGUGAGCUCGAUGAGUAGGGCGGGACACGUGGUAUCCUGUCUGAAUAUGGGGGGACCAUCCUCCAAGGCUAAAUACUCCUGACUGACCGAUAGUGAACCAGUACCGUGAGGGAAAGGCGAAAAGAACCCCGGCGAGGGGAGUGAAAAAGAACCUGAAACCGUGUACGUACAAGCAGUGGGAGCCUCUUUUAUGGGGUGACUGCGUACCUUUUGUAUAAUGGGUCAGCGACUUAUAUUCUGUAGCAAGGUUAACCGAAUAGGGGAGCCGAAGGGAAACCGAGUCUUAACUGGGCGUUAAGUUGCAGGUAUAGACCCGAAACCCGGUGAUCUAGCCAUGGGCAGGUUGAAGGUUGGGUAACACUAACUGGAGGACCGAACCGACUAAUGUUGAAAAAUUAGCGGAUGACUUGUGGCUGGGGGUGAAAGGCCAAUCAAACCGGGAGAUAGCUGGUUCUCCCCGAAAGCUAUUUAGGUAGCGCCUCGUGAAUUCAUCUCCGGGGGUAGAGCACUGUUUCGGCAAGGGGGUCAUCCCGACUUACCAACCCGAUGCAAACUGCGAAUACCGGAGAAUGUUAUCACGGGAGACACACGGCGGGUGCUAACGUCCGUCGUGAAGAGGGAAACAACCCAGACCGCCAGCUAAGGUCCCAAAGUCAUGGUUAAGUGGGAAACGAUGUGGGAAGGCCCAGACAGCCAGGAUGUUGGCUUAGAAGCAGCCAUCAUUUAAAGAAAGCGUAAUAGCUCACUGGUCGAGUCGGCCUGCGCGGAAGAUGUAACGGGGCUAAACCAUGCACCGAAGCUGCGGCAGCGACACUGUGUGUUGUUGGGUAGGGGAGCGUUCUGUAAGCCUGUGAAGGUAUGCUGUGAGGCAUGCUGGAGGUAUCAGAAGUGCGAAUGCUGACAUAAGUAACGAUAAAGCGGGUGAAAAGCCCGCUCGCCGGAAGACCAAGGGUUCCUGUCCAACGUUAAUCGGGGCAGGGUGAGUCGACCCCUAAGGCGAGGCCGAAAGGCGUAGUCGAUGGGAAACAGGUUAAUAUUCCUGUACUUGGUGUUACUGCGAAGGGGGGACGGAGAAGGCUAUGUUGGCCGGGCGACGGUUGUCCCGGUUUAAGCGUGUAGGCUGGUUUUCCAGGCAAAUCCGGAAAAUCAAGGCUGAGGCGUGAUGACGAGGCACUACGGUGCUGAAGCAACAAAUGCCCUGCUUCCAGGAAAAGCCUCUAAGCAUCAGGUAACAUCAAAUCGUACCCCAAACCGACACAGGUGGUCAGGUAGAGAAUACCAAGGCGCUUGAGAGAACUCGGGUGAAGGAACUAGGCAAAAUGGUGCCGUAACUUCGGGAGAAGGCACGCUGAUAUGUAGGUGAAGUCCCUCGCGGAUGGAGCUGAAAUCAGUCGAAGAUACCAGCUGGCUGCAACUGUUUAUUAAAAACACAGCACUGUGCAAACACGAAAGUGGACGUAUACGGUGUGACGCCUGCCCGGUGCCGGAAGGUUAAUUGAUGGGGUCAGCGCAAGCGAAGCUCUUGAUCGAAGCCCCGGUAAACGGCGGCCGUAACUAUAACGGUCCUAAGGUAGCGAAAUUCCUUGUCGGGUAAGUUCCGACCUGCACGAAUGGCGUAAUGAUGGCCAGGCUGUCUCCACCCGAGACUCAGUGAAAUUGAACUCGCUGUGAAGAUGCAGUGUACCCGCGGCAAGACGGAAAGACCCCGUGAACCUUUACUAUAGCUUGACACUGAACAUUGAGCCUUGAUGUGUAGGAUAGGUGGGAGGCUUAGAAGUGUGGACGCCAGUCUGCAUGGAGCCGACCUUGAAAUACCACCCUUUAAUGUUUGAUGUUCUAACGUUGACCCGUAAUCCGGGUUGCGGACAGUGUCUGGUGGGUAGUUUGACUGGGGCGGUCUCCUCCUAAAGAGUAACGGAGGAGCACGAAGGUUGGCUAAUCCUGGUCGGACAUCAGGAGGUUAGUGCAAUGGCAUAAGCCAGCUUGACUGCGAGCGUGACGGCGCGAGCAGGUGCGAAAGCAGGUCAUAGUGAUCCGGUGGUUCUGAAUGGAAGGGCCAUCGCUCAACGGAUAAAAGGUACUCCGGGGAUAACAGGCUGAUACCGCCCAAGAGUUCAUAUCGACGGCGGUGUUUGGCACCUCGAUGUCGGCUCAUCACAUCCUGGGGCUGAAGUAGGUCCCAAGGGUAUGGCUGUUCGCCAUUUAAAGUGGUACGCGAGCUGGGUUUAGAACGUCGUGAGACAGUUCGGUCCCUAUCUGCCGUGGGCGCUGGAGAACUGAGGGGGGCUGCUCCUAGUACGAGAGGACCGGAGUGGACGCAUCACUGGUGUUCGGGUUGUCAUGCCAAUGGCACUGCCCGGUAGCUAAAUGCGGAAGAGAUAAGUGCUGAAAGCAUCUAAGCACGAAACUUGCCCCGAGAUGAGUUCUCCCUGACCCUUUAAGGGUCCUGAAGGAACGUUGAAGACGACGACGUUGAUAGGCCGGGUGUGUAAGCGCAGCGAUGCGUUGAGCUAACCGGUACUAAUGAACCGUGAGGCUUAACCUU